ACACACACAGCAGAAAUGACUGCACUCCUAGGACUUUAUAGAGAUUUUCAAAUAAAAUUUAACUUUUAUUCCAUUCAUUUAAAUGGAUUGAAUAAAAGUUACAUUUUAUUUGAAAAUCUCUAUAAAGUCCUUGGAGUGCGGUCAUUUCUGCUAUGUCUACAUGAUCCUUGCCAGACCAGCACCG